rnacentral:rRNA from 1 species
AGAGUUUGAGUCCUGGCCUAGGACGAACGGCUGCGGCGUGCCUAACACAUAGCAAGUCGAACGAAGACUUGAAUUCAGAUUCUUCGGAAUGAGAAUGAGUAUGACUGAGUGGCGGACGGGUGAGUAACGCGUGAGCAACCUGCCCUUCGAGGGGGAUAGUGUCUGAAACGGACAGUAAUACCGCAUAACGUAUUUUUACCGCAUGAUAGAAAUACCAAAACUGAGGUGCCGAAGGAUGGGCUCGCGUUGGAUUAGAUAGUUGUGGGGUAACGGCCUACCAAGUCAACGAUCCAUAGCCGGACUGAGAGGUUGAACGGCCACAUUGGGACUGAGACACGGCCCAGACUCCUACGGGAGGCAGCAGUGGGGAAUAUUGCACAAUGGGGGAAACCCUGAUGCAGCAACGCCGCGUGAAGGAAAACGGUUUUCGGAUUGUAAACUUCUGUUCUUAGUGAAGAAAAAUGACGGUAGCUAAGGAGCAAGCCACGGCUAACUACGUG